rnacentral:lncRNA from 1 species
CUUAUGACCCAAUAAGUUUGAAGGUUUAUAUGCUACCUCCAGAUGCAAUUCCAUAUAGUUAAGAAGCACAUUGAGAUGCUGAGAUGUGAACCCACAACCCACAUCUAUAUAGAAGCACCAUAUGUGAUGGAUUAGAACUAGCAGUGAAAAAAAAUAAAUACAAGCAUCAUUGCUCAUAGGGAUGGCAAGAUAUGUAUUUUAAAAAUAAAUAAAUAAAGAUGGAUAGUAAGGCCAAUAAAAGGCUUAAGCUCUAA